GAAUAAAUAAAUUUAAAACAUAGGAAUAUGAAAAUAUACAUUUUUAAAGUUGGCUAUACUUAGUAUGUUAAAAAUGGCGUCAUUUUAAAUGGUUGUGGGAAAACUUUAGGACUCUUGUGAAGUGAAUUAAUCAUUCUAGAAUGGAUAAACCUGGGAAAGACAAUAAAUCAACAGAAAAAGGUAGGUCCAGAACGAGACCUGUUGACUGGGCAACUGGCAACGCAAAGUAAGUUUUUGAACAACUAUUUCUAGUAUUUUCUUCUAUAAUGACAACAAUUUAAUAUUGAUUUUAUGAAACCGACGGAAACAAUAUAAUUUACGUAUUAUAUUAAUAAAGUUUAUUGAUUUAA